rnacentral:rRNA from 1 species
AUUGAACGCUGGCGGCAGGCCUAACACAUGCAAGUCGAGCGGAUGAAGGGAGCUUGCUCCUGGAUUCAGCGGCGGACGGGUGAGUAAUGCCUAGGAAUCUGCCUGGUAGUGGGGGAUAACGUCCGGAAACGGGCGCUAAUACCGCAUACGUCCUGAGGGAGAAAGUGGGGGAUCUUCGGACCUCACGCUAUCAGAUGAGCCUAGGUCGGAUUAGCUAGUUGGUGGGGUAAAGGCCCACCAAGGCGACGAUCCGUAACUGGUCUGAGAGGAUGAUCAGUCACACUGGAACUGAGACACGGUCCAGACUCCUACAGGAGGCAGCAGUGGGGAAUAUUGGACAAUGGGCGAAAGCCUGAUCCAGCCAUGCCGCGUGUGUGAAGAAGGUCUUCGGAUUGUAAAGCACUUUAAGUUGGGAGGAAGGGCAGUAAGUUAAUACCUUGCUGUUUUGACGUUACCAACAGAAUAAGCACCGGCUAACUUCGUG